rnacentral:lncRNA from 1 species
UGAAAUAAAAAAUUCAUGCCUGAUUUGGGACUAAAGGAGGAAUUUGGCAAAGUCACAUUUUGGCACAUCCUGCUGUUAUCCUUUCAUUCUUCUAUUUUCAGAGAAAGUAUUACAAAAUAUUUGGUUUCCCUCCUCCCUACCCCCUCUCCCCCGAAUUAGUGACAACUGGUCUGUUUCUUUAUUCCAAACAGUCAUUGUUGGACACUCUGCCAAGUUUCAUGAAUCUCAACCUAACAAGCCAUUUCAGUACCACUGACAUGAGUCCCUUUCCCCCUUACAUAUCUUCUGCCGUAAUUUCACUUUCUCAAUGCUACCUUUCCAUCUCUAUCAUUUUCUCCCCCCUCUUUCUCUUGAUGCUCUUAUAUGUAUUAUCUUUUUUUUUUAAAUAUUGUUUUCUCCUUAAUCCAUUUAUUGCUUCUGAACUUGGAGCAUUUCUAUUGGACUACCAGAUAUUUCUGGUCUUUCUAACUCCAAAUCAAAUCUCUUAAAAGUGAUGGGUGGCACUUUGUUAAAGAAACCGCAGGGAAAAACAAAUUGUCUGUCCUGAAAAUUUCCAAAUUAAAUGUGUUUUCACCAGAUUUCCUUUAGAAAUUAAAGAGAAAAGACUUUUAACUCCCUAAACUUCAUAGUUGUCAAAUUUAAUCUAAUGCUUUUAUUUCUUCAAAAUAUUUGUUGCUCUUUCACACACAAGUCAGGUAUAAAUAUAGGAGAACAUAGAACUACAGAGGUAAAGCCUUCAGGGAAAUUGGUAUUAAUCAUUUUCAAAUCUGUGCCCAGUUUUAGAAUAUAAUGGAUCUUCAUCAUUUCUGUGGUCUUUGUAUGUGUACAAUUUUAUUUUAAAAAUUAUGCACUUCUCAAAGACACUCACAAAAGUGACUUAAAACUGUGGCAACAAAAUGAUGUGAACAAGGACACACACACAUACCCUUUAAUUCACACUGUUUCAGAAUGUCUAAAUAUUCCCUUCUGUAUUUGAAAAAAAUGAGGGAUAGGGAAGAAUAAGGGGAAUAGUAGCAAAGGAAAGGAAGCCUUAAAAAAAAUGAGAUCCAUCUUAAAGAGUAGAAUUUUGUGUGAUAGUGGGGAUAUGGGAGAAAAUAUGAAAAGAAAAAAAAAAAACCUUUCCUUACAGUGGGUAGCAAGAACAGUUGAAGGCACAUAUGAUCUCCCAUUAGAGUUCAGUUUCUCUUAGAGCCUUCCUGUUUUCUUUGAAGCUAGUAACUACACCAUAGGUAAAUAAAUGCUAAUUGGAGAAAACUAGAGGUGAAUACUAUCAGCUUCCUUCUUCCUUCCUUAGCUGUGGGGCCCACUAUUCUUGUUUUGCUUAAAAGUAAUUAAUUUAGGGAUUUUCAAGCCCAAUUGAAGUGAAGAGGAUGUAAUGAAAAAUCAGUAGAUUAUUAGGGAAGCAAACACCUUUUGGGUGUAUGGUAUUCAAUUACAGGGUAGGCCCAUUUAUUUUGAGUUUUGAGACGUGCAAUCUGAAAAUUUCUUUUAGUGUAUACCUAGUAACAAAUUUUGAGUCUUCUUAUUUAAUUAUUUAGCUUAGCAAAUCUGUGCCUUACUGCUACUAGGGCAUUGUAUGUUCAUAGAGGGGGAAGGCUUUCUAGUGGAAUGGGGAAAAUAGUUACUUAAUGGGAAAAUAAAUUAUUUCACUGUUUUUAAUGUUAAUUUUUGGAGAUAAUUCAUUAAAGUGAAUGACAAAAUAUUUUUGCAUACUCUACAAGUAUAGUACACUUUUAUAUGAAACUGGUUAUCUCAAUGUUUAUAAGUCUGAAAUGUUACUUCAUCUUUUGAUUUUUAAUUUAGCUUUAUUGUUAACAUUGUAAACCUGUGGAAAGUAGGAUACAUUUUAAAAUGAUGUUUUAGACAACCCUGUUUUAAAUGAAUUACUUUAGCAUGGAGUUAAAACUGUUGUAGUUCCCAUAGAAUCAAUUGCUAUAAAUUAGCUAUUCCUUUUCAAUUCUGUUAUAAAUUAGCUAUGUAUGUAUCAUAUCAAAUGAUGAUAAUGUUAAAAAUUGCUUGUGUCCAUGGGUUUAUAGAUAGUUUUGAUUAUUUGUAAAUAAUUCACAAAGGGGAUGAUUUGAAUUUUGUACUUUCAAAAAAAAGUCUUUUGGUUAUGGGGUAAUGGUGUAUAAAGGUUUUUCUUUCAGAAAUGAGAAAAAAAAUUCUGGUCAAACCUGGCAGGUAUAUGCAUUUCUAAUUUGCCACUAGUGAAGGUUUAUAAAUAUUAAAACAGUUGACAGGAAAGCUUUUUAGAAGUUGGGUGGUGAAUUAAUCAUGUGUGGGAAAAUGAGAUUUAUAAGUAGUUUUCCAUUUGGGAUGAAAAUCAGAAAUGCAAGCCAAGUUGGCUUCAUGUCUUGUUAAAAGAAAAAGGUGAUGAAUUACAUUAAAACAACUCAUUCUAUAUCGUAUACUUAGAAGGGUUCCCCAAAGUAUUUGUACCAUAAACGUCAUCUAUAUAGCUUGGCAAAGCAAAAAUGAGUGUUCAUUUAGCUGUGUUUUCCAUUAAAGUUCUGUGUGUGUGGUUUGUAUGCAUUGCACACAUGGUACAUUUUCCAUCAGAAGAGAAAUGCUCAGCAUAUGUCUUGAUAUUAUGGGAGUUGGCAGGGAGAGUAGAGAUGAAGUCCACUCUGGCUAUAACUCCAUCAGUCAUUAGGAGGAUCAGUUAAAUAUUCAAGAAGAGUUUACUACUCCUUACUAUACCAGCAUCAUUUAGUCUUUCCAACCAGCCUGAAUGAAAGACACAAAGGAUCAGGUGGUAUGUUUUGUCUCAAUAGAAGGCUUCAGUCCCCAAGGCUCUUAUGAAAGCCUGUCUCUCCUGGUCAACCAUUAUAAAAAAACAGCUAUUUCCUUCAUCUACUAGGUAUCUUUCCUUAGGUACCAGCCACAGACUCGGAAGAUGCAAUCCAUACAAAACAUUUGUAUAUCAGCAUUUUAUCUUUUCAGCCUUCCUCUCUAGUUUUCUGAAGUUCAUUUUGCAAUCCUUUCUGAAAGAGUAUUUAUAUAGUCCAGUGUUGUAGAGGCUACAAAUGGUCUCCUAACUUUUAUAGGCCAAUUUAUUCAUCUUGCCCAGUGGAAAAGAAAUGAAGGCCAGAGCAUGUGGAAAAGAGGCCAUGAUACUCUGGACAUUCAAUUCCCUCCAUCAUCAUGUUCAUAGGAUUAGCCCUUAGCAUUUCUUAGCUUUUACUUUCUUUGGAGAGAUAUUUGACCAUCUAAAAAUAUACAAAUUAUGUUCCAGUUUCUUCUAAAUUCUCUAAGUUGAUGACUGUCUUCUAUUUUAAAUUAUUUUUUUCCCUAAAAAAAAAAUUAAGGAUAUUGUCUUUUUUUUCACUCCACCCCUUCUGAAUACUGCUCAGAAAUCAAUGAGUGCUAGUAAAUUUGAGAAUGUCUCAUUUUAAAACAAUCUGUUGUCUGGCCCCAACAAUUUGUGUGUGACCUGUCUCUCUGGCUGAUACUUUGCCAAACUAAAUCUAAAUUCUCAAAAUAAAC